rnacentral:rRNA from 1 species
GAUGAACGCUGGCGGCGUGCCUAAUACAUGCAAGUCGAGCGAACAGACGAGGAGCUUGCUCCUCUGACGUUAGCGGCGGACGGGUGAGUAACACGUGGAUAACCUACCUAUAAGACUGGGAUAACUUCGGGAAGCCGGAGCUAAUACCGGAUAAUAUAUUGAACCGCAUGGUUCAAUAGUGAAAGACGGUUUUGCUGUCACUUAUAGAUGGAUCCGCGCCGCAUCAGCUAGUUGGUAAGGUAACGGCUUACCAAGGCAACGAUGCGUAGCCGACCUGAGAGGGUGAUCGGCCACACUGGAACUGAGACACGGUCCAGACUCCUACGGGAGGCAGCAGUAGGGAAUCUUCCGCAAUGGGCGAAAGCCUGACGGAGCAACGCCGCGUGAGUGAUGAAGGUCUUCGGAUCGUAAAACUCUGUUAUUAGGGAAGAACAAAUGUGUAAGUAACUAUGCACGUCUUGACGGUACCUAAUCAGAAAGCCACGGCUAACUACGUG